rnacentral:piRNA from 1 species
CAAAUAUUUGAAGAUAGUUUUCAAUAAUGAU